AACGCAAGUUGCGCCCGAAGCCAUUAGGCUGAGGGCACGUCUGCCUGGGCGUCACGCAUCGUCGCCACCUCCCCCCUCGCUCUCUGAGCUUGGUCGGGGGUGACGGAAUUUGGCUUCCCGUGCUCCUUCGAGCGCGGCUGGCCUAAAUAGGAGUCCUCCCCUCAGGAUGUCACGACUAGUGGUGGUUGAAAAUCUCAACUCGAUCGGGGUCGUGUCUUAACCUGUCGCGGAGCGUUCUCUGAGACCCUGGAGCCUUAAGGCCCUCGACAAUGACCCCAGGUCAGGCGGGAUUACCCGCUGAGUUUAA
rnacentral:misc_RNA from 1 species